CGGGGGGAGCAAGCGUUGUUCGGAUUUACUGGGCGUAAAGGGCGCGUAGGCGGCCACCGCAAGUCGACUGUGAAAUCUCCGGGCUUAACCCGGAAAGGUCAGCCGAUACUGCGGGUCUAGAGUGCAGAAGGGGCAACUGGAAUUCUCGGUGUAGCGGUGAAAUGCGUAGAUAUCGAGAGGAACACCUGCGGCGAAGGCGGGUUGCUGGGCUGACACUGACGCUGAUGCGCGAAAGCUAGGGGAGCGAACGGGAUUAGAUACCCCGGUAGUCCUAGCCUUAAACGAUGAAUGCUUGGUGUCUGGGGUUUUAUAGUCCCCGGGUGCCGUCGCUAACGCUUUAAGCAUUCCGCCUGGGGAGUACGGUCGCAAGACUG
rnacentral:rRNA from 1 species